CCGCUCACAUAUACAGUAGACUGUAUAUAAAGAGGACAGAAGCAGUGUAGGGAGAAGCUGAAAAAGCUCAAAAGUGACUAUCGGUCCACCCAGGACCACAACGGCCGGCGUGGGUCAACCAGGAGGUGUUGGAAGAGGUUUAAUGGAAGCUAUUUACUGGCACCGCACCGGCGAGCAACAGGAGGGAGACUCAGCCGCUGCAUUGUUGGAGACGUUCGAGGACGAAUCCCUUUCCACAUGCGAAGCCUACUCCACCUCCGUCGCGGAGCCCCCGGCUCCCCUGCCUCCUCUCCACCAGCUGCAGCGGCUCCUCUCCAGCACCAGCUCGGACACCGACACCAGCACGUCACAGCAACGUCUUAUCACCGGCAAGAGGAAAAGGGGCAACAGAAAAUUGGACCUUCCUAGCGUACUUGUGGAGAUGCAGGCUGAGGAGGAGUGGAGUCAUGCCCAGCAUGAUGAGAACAUCUGGUUGCUCCUCAGCGAGGCAAGAGAGAAUGAAGCUGCCUUGCAGCGGGAGGAGAUGGCCCAGAAUACUGCCUUCAACCAGUCAUUCCUGGGUGUGCUGGGGUAGCUGGGUAGGCAGUGGGCAGCCGGCGAGUGUGAGCGAGUCCACCUCCCAUAGACUUGAG
ensembl:lncRNA